rnacentral:rRNA from 1 species
GGUUAAGUUAGAAAGGGCGCACGGUGGAUGCCUUGGCACUAGGAGCCGAUGAAGGACGGGACGAACACCGAUAUGCUUCGGGGAGCUGUAAGCAAGCUUUGAUCCGGAGAUUUCCGAAUGGGGAAACCCACCACUCGUAAUGGAGUGGUAUCCAUAUCUGAAUACAUAGGAUAUGAGAAGGCAGACCCGGGGAACUGAAACAUCUAAGUACCCGGAGGAAGAGAAAGCAAAUGCGAUUCCCUGAGUAGCGGCGAGCGAAACGGGACCAGCCCAAACCAAGAGGCUUGCCUCUUGGGGUUGUAGGACACUCUGUACGGAGUUACAAAGGAACGAGGUAGAUGAAGAGGUCUGGAAAGGCCCGCCAUAGGAGGUAACAGCCCUGUAGUCAAAACUUCGUUCUCUCCUGAGUGGAUCCUGAGUACGGCGGAACACGUGAAAUUCCGUCGGAAUCCGGGAGGACCAUCUCCCAAGGCUAAAUACUCCCUAGUGACCGAUAGUGAACCAGUACCGUGAGGGAAAGGUGAAAAGCACCCCGGAAGGGGAGUGAAAGAGAUCCUGAAACCGUGUGCCUACAAGUAGUCAGAGCCCGUUAACGGGUGAUGGCGUGCCUUUUGUAGAAUGAACCGGCGAGUUACGAUCCCGUGCAAGGUUAAGCAGAAGAUGCGGAGCCGCAGCGAAAGCGAGUCUGAAUAGGGCGAAUUGAGUACGUGGUCGUAGACCCGAAACCAGGUGAUCUACCCAUGUCCAGGGUGAAGUUCAGGUAACACUGAAUGGAGGCCCGAACCCACGCACGUUGAAAAGUGCGGGGAUGAGGUGUGGGUAGGGGUGAAAUGCCAAUCGAACCUGGAGAUAGCUGGUUCUCUCCGAAAUAGCUUUAGGGCUAGCCUCAAGGUAAGAGUCUCGGAGGUAGAGCACUGAUUGGACUAGGGGCCCCUACCGGGUUACCGAAUUCAGUCAAACUCCGAAUGCCGAUGACUUAUCCUUGGGAGUCAGACUGCGAGUGAUAAGAUCCGUAGUCGAAAGGGAAACAGCCCAGACCGCCAGCUAAGGUCCCAAAGUAUACGUUAAGUGGAAAAGGAUGUGGAGUUGCUUAGACAACCAGGAUGUUGGCUUAGAAGCAGCCACCAUUUAAAGAGUGCGUAAUAGCUCACUGGUCGAGUGACUCUGCGCCGAAAAUGUACCGGGGCUAAACGUAUCACCGAAGCUGCGGACUGUUCUUCGAACAGUGGUAGGAGAGCGUUCUAAGGGCUGUGAAGCAAGACCGGAAGGACUUGUGGAGCGCUUAGAAGUGAGAAUGCCGGUAUGAGUAGCGAAAGAGGGGUGAGAAUCCCCUCCACCGAAUGCCUAAGGUUUCCUGAGGAAGGCUCGUCCGCUCAGGGUUAGUCGGGACCUAAGCCGAGG